rnacentral:rRNA from 1 species
GACGAACGCUGGCGGCGUGCUUAACACAUGCAAGUCGAACGGAAAGGCCCUGCUUUUGUGGGGUGCUCGAGUGGCGAACGGGUGAGUAACACGUGAGUAACCUGCCCUUGACUUUGGGAUAACUUCAGGAAACUGGGGCUAAUACCGGAUAGGAGCUCCUGCUGCAUGGUGGGGGUUGGAAAGUUUCGGCGGUUGGGGGUGGACUCGCGGCUUAUCAGCUUGUUGGUGGGGUCGUGGCUUCCCACGGCUUUGCCGGGUAGCCGGCCUGAGCGGGUGACCGGCCACAUUGGGACUGAGAUACGGCCCAGACUCCUACGGGAGGCAGCAGUGGGGAAUAUGGCACAAUGGGCGGAAGCCUGAUGCAGCAACGCCGCGUGCGGGAUGACGGCCUUCGGGUUGUAAACCGCUUUCGCCUGUGACGAAGCGUGAGUGACGGUAAUGGGUAAAGAAGCACCGGCUAACUACGUG